rnacentral:rRNA from 1 species
UGGGGAAUAUUGCGCAAUGGGGGCAACCCUGACGCAGCCAUGCCGCGUGAAUGAAGAAGGCCUUCGGGUUGUAAAGUUCUUUCGGUAGCGAGGAAGGCAUUUAGUUUAAUAAACUAGAUGAUUGACGUUAACUACAGAAGAAGCACCGGCUAACUCCGUGCCAGCAGCCGCGGUAAUACGGAGGGUGCGAGCGUUAAUCGGAAUAACUGGGCGUAAAGGGCACGCAGGCGGUGACUUAAGUGAGGUGUGAAAGCCCCGGGCUUAACCUGGGAAUUGCAUUUCAUACUGGGUCGCUAGAGUACUUUAGGGAGGGGUAGAAUUCCACGUGUAGCGGUGAAAUGCGUAGAGAUGUGGAGGAAUACCGAAGGCGAAGGCAGCCCCUUGGGAAUGUACUGACGCUCAUGGGCGAAAGCGUGAGGAGCAAACAG